rnacentral:rRNA from 1 species
GAUGUGCCUUUUCUUCGGAACGUCGGAGACAGGUGGUGCAUGGUUGUCGUCAGCUCGUGUCGUGAGAUGUUGGGUUAAGUCCCGCAACGAGCGCAACCCUUACGGUUAGUUGAUACAGUAAGAUGAUCACUCUAGCCGGACUGCCGUUGACAAAACGGAGGAAGGUGGGGACGACGUCAAAUCAUCAUGCCCCUUAUGACCUGGGCUACACACGUACUACAAUGGCAGUCAUACAGAGGGAAGCAAAAUGGUGACAUGGAGCAAAUCCCUAAAAGCUGUCCCAGUUCAGAUUGCAGGCUGCAACCCGCCUGCAUGAAGUCGGAAUUGCUAGUAAUCGCGGAUCAGCAUGCCGCGGUGAAUACGUUCCCGGGCCUUGUACACACCGCCCGUCACACCAUGAGAGCCGGUAAUACCCGAAGUCCGUAGCCUAACCGAAAGGGGGGCGCGGCCGAAGGUAGGACUGGUAAUUAGGGUGAAGUCGUAACAAGGUAGCCGUAUCGGAAG